rnacentral:rRNA from 1 species
CAGUCGCCACGGGAAUACGCAGGUGGCAAGCGUUGCCCGGAUUUAUUGGGCGUAAAGCGAGCGCAGGCGGUCAAUUAAGUCUGAUGUGAAAGCCCCCGGCUCAACCGGGGAGGGUCAUUGGAAACUGGUUGACUUGAGUGCAGAAGAGGAGAGUGGAAUUCCAUGUGUAGCGGUGAAAUGCGUAGAUAUAUGGAGGAACACCAGUGGCGAAGGCGACUCUCUGGUCUGUAACUGACGCUGAGGCUCGAAAGCGUGGGUAGCAAACAGGAUUAGAUACCCGAGUAGUCCCUGUCUCUUAUAC